rnacentral:rRNA from 1 species
GGAUCCAGACUUUGAUCAUGGCUCAGGACGAACGCUGGCGGCGCGCCUAACACAUGCAAGUCGAGCGGGAAGCUUUUUAAGGAUUCUUCGGAUGAAUUAAAAAGUGGAGAGCGGCGGACGGGUGAGUAACGCGUGAGAAACCUGCCCUAUACAGGGGGAUAGCCAUUGGAAACGAUGAUUAAUACCCCAUAUGACCACAGUAUCGCAUGAUACAGCGGUGAAAACUCCGGUGGUAUAGGAUGGUCUCGCGUCUGAUUAGCUAGUUGGUGGGGUAACGGCCUACCAAGGCGACGAUCAGUAGCCGGCCUGAGAGGGUGACCGGCCACACUGGAACUGAGACACGGUCCAGACUCCUACGGGAGGCAGCAGUGGGGAAUAUUGCACAAUGGGCGAAAGCCUGAUGCAGCGACGCCGCGUGAACGAUGAAGGCUUUCGGGUCGUAAAGUUCUGUUCUUGGGGAAGAUAACGACGGUACCCAAGGAGAAAGCACCGGCUAAAUACGUGCCAGCAGCCGCGGUAAU